rnacentral:lncRNA from 1 species
CAAGAGAGGCCGUUUUGGGGCAAAAGAGGCUGUUUUAGGGCAAAAGAGGCAUUUUGGGGCACAGGAAGCCGUUUUUGGGACACAAUAGGCCACAUUUUGGGGCACGGGAAGGCAUUUUGGGGCGUGGGAGGCCCUUUUGGGACAAAGGAUGGGAUUUUGGGGCAAAAGAGGCUGUUUUGGGGUGUGGGAGGCCAUUUUGCGGGCCCGAGAGGCCAUUUUGGGCUGAAAAAGCCCAUUUUUGGCGCCGUUUCGGGGGUGCGCCGGCCCAAAACACCGUUACCAGACCUUCCAAAAUUCCCAUCACCCCUUCAACCCAAAUCAACCCCAAAUCAACCCAAAUGAACCCAAAAUCACCCCAAAUCAACCCAAAUCUCCCCAACCCAACCCAAAUCACCCCACAUUACUCCAAAUCACACCAAAUCUCCCCAAAUCACCCCAACUCAACCCAAAAUCAACCCAAAACAACCCAAAUAGACCCAAAUCAACCCAACUCACCCCAAAUCAACCCAAAAUCAACCCAACUCAACCCCAAAUCAACCCAACCCAACCCAAAUCCACCCCAAAUCAUCCCAACUCACCCCAAAUUAAGCCAAAUCAGCCCAAAUCAGCCCAAAUCAUCCCAAAUCAGCCCAUAUCAACCCAACUCAACCCAAAUCACCCCAAAUCACCCCAAAAUCAGCCCAAAUCAACUCAAAAUCAACCCAAAUCACCCCAAAUCACCCGAAAUCAACCCCAAAUCGACCCAAAUCACCCCGACUCAACCCAAAAUCAGCCCAACUCACCCCAAAUCAUCCCAACUCACCCAAAAUCAACACAAAUCAACCCAACCCAACCCAAAUCAACCCAACCCAAAUCCACCCCAAAUCAUACCAACUCACCCCAACUCAACCCAAAAUCAACCCAAAUCACCCCCAAAUCACCCCAAAUCACCCCAACUCAACCCAAAUCAACCCAAAAUCAACCCAAAUCAGCCCAAAAUCACCCCAAAUCAACCCAAAUCAACCCAAAUCACCUUGACUCACCCCAAAUCACACCAAAUCUCCCCAAAUCACCCCAAAUCACCCCAAAAUCAGC